rnacentral:rRNA from 1 species
UACACUCCUACGGGAGGCAGCAGUGGGGAAUAUUGGACAAUGGGCGCAAGCCUGAUCCAGCCAUGCCGCGUGAGUGAUGAAGGCCCUAGGGUUGUAAAGCUCUUUCACCGGUGAAGAUAAUGACGGUAACCGGAGAAGAAGCCCCGGCUAACUUCGUGCCAGCAGCCGCGGUAAUACGAAGGGGGCUAGCGUUGUUCGGAUUUACUGGGCGUAAAGCGCACGUAGGCGGACUAUUAAGUCAGGGGUGAAAUCCCGGGGCUCAACCCCGGAACUGCCUUUGAUACUGGUAGUCUUGAGUUCGAGAGAGGUGAGUGGAAUUCCGAGUGUAGAGGUGAAAUUCGUAGAUAUUCGGAGGAACACCAGUGGCGAAGGCGGCUCACUGGCUCGAUACUGACGCUGAGGUGCGAAAGCGUGGGGAGCAAACAGGAUUAGAUACCUGAGUAGUCCCAUGA